rnacentral:rRNA from 1 species
AACUAACCAGNGGAUAAUACAAUUAUCCUGUGUUAAUUGACCCGGCACUAGAUCGAUCUCUCCGAGCUCUCAAGACGGAUUUUAAUANGUCUCGCUACCAGGACUGAAGUCCGCGCCUUUCAACGCAUUUAGGCUGAUNUCUGUGCUCGAAGAGUUAUACAUAGCCGUACACUCUACAGGCCUGCAUAGCAAUCCUCUGUAGACNUUGCGCUCCUGCAGGCACGGCAUCGCAAUCGAAGCUCCACUACNCUGUUCGCACCAUGNAGUUACCAAACGGGGCCCCGAGUNAUCCUCCNGUGACUGUGGGAGACGGCCCAGNGCGAGAUUGUGUCGAGCACACUCAUUGUGAGNAUCUANANAUGAGAGGCCGCGACACAGUCCCCGUGUGACUCCCNAUGUUCUACAGUGCCCCCGGAGCGUAUAGUAUGUCUCGANAUAGACANAGGGGCCCNUUAUAGCGGUCGCUCUGUCUCAGANUAGCUAUCCCUCUGUCUAGCGCCAAUUGGCGNUAAGUGCCAACUAGAGAAUGGAAUCAAAGGGUCACNCCGGUAGGGGCAUUUUAUAUUUACAUUGCCCNUCCCCAGGUUGGACCUUUAGAAUCUUACUCUGAAUUGCGACCUAACGUCCAGGGGCGCCUGAACAGAGGAAUGAAAAGUUCAAUCUGUGAAACAGAAGGGCCACGCCCCUAAAAGGGCGGGCUCCUUGGUUCUACCUGCGAGAACAUUUCUAACNCGUUCCGGGGGGCCCAUGUNUUGAGGACAUUGCCCCGACCUAACCAAGGUGACCGUUGGUCUGCGGGCCCCCACUUAUUUCUAGGAUGGCUCCCAAAUGUUAAGUGUUUCGCCACAACAAAGGCCUCGGCCGUUGGGGCGGCCCUUUCCCAC